UCUUAUUUUCAUGUUUUUGUAAUUAUUUGUUUUCCAUUUCAUUCAAAUACCAGAUCAACUACUGAAAUCUGAUCAUGGAGCUAAAAUGAAUUGCUAAUAAUUUUACCUUUCCCUUGAUAUCUGAGUUAAUCCAGAAUUACAAUCAGUUCAGACAUUUUCAUCAUUUUAAAGUUUCAUUAUUUCUAUUGGUCCAGGCUCUGAAAGUGAGCGACCAUUAUCUAGUGGAGGUGAAGCUGAAGACUUUGGUGGAACAACAAGAUGAUGGUGAUGGUCUGACAGACAAGAUGGAAGAGCUCAAUCUUAACGAUGAAACAGAAAGACAGAAAGUGAGCCUGGCUCAUGGUUUUGCACUUUGUUCUAAAAAUCCCAGAUCUAAAAACA